GUUUAUAUAGUUUAAAAAAACAUAACACUUUCAUUGUUAAGUUGAAGAAAAUUCUUCUUUAAAUA
rnacentral:tRNA from 1 species